rnacentral:lncRNA from 1 species
CCAUCCAGUAUCGGGCUAGAGGUAUCAUAUCCAAUCGUCGAAUGUUCACUGAUGCACUACUAGCGUUAGUCUGAAAGUGUCUACCAGGAAGACACACAACCUCCUCAAUUUCAGCUACAUUACCAGACAAACCAGCAUGUGCCGCAUACUGGCACUGCUCCCCUGGCCACUCUAUUCCCAAAAAGCUGUUAAUGGUAUCAGGGUCAUAACUGAUAGUCUGCCCC